GACGAACGCUGGCGGCGUGCUUAACACAUGCAAGUCGAACGGAAAGGCCCUGCUUGCCGGGUACUCGAGUGGCGAACGGGUGAGUAACACGUGGGUGAUCUGCCCUGCACUUCGGGAUAAGCCUGGGAAACUGGGUCUAAUACCGGAUAGGAGCCAUUUUUAGUGUGAUGGUUGGAAAGUUUUUUCGGUGUAGGAUGGGCUCGCGGCCUAUCAGCUUGUUGGUGGGGUAAUGGCCUACCAAGGCGGCGACGGGUAGCCGGCCUGAGAGGGUGGACGGCCACAUUGGGACUGAGAUACGGCCCAGACUCCUACGGGAGGCAGCAGGGGGGAAUAUUGCACAAUGGGCGCAAGCCUGAUGCAGCGACGCCGCGUGGGGGAGGACGGCCUUCGGGUUGUAAACUCCUUUCGCUAGGGACGAAGCUUUUUGUGACGGUACCUAGAGAAGAAGCACCGGCUAACUACGUG
rnacentral:rRNA from 1 species